rnacentral:rRNA from 1 species
AUUGAACGCUGGCGGCAGGCUUAACACAUGCAAAUCGAGCGGGGUGAUGGUGCUUGCACUAUCACUUAGCGGCGGACGGGUGAGUAAUGCUUAGGAAUCUGCCUAUUAGUGGGGGACAACACCUCGAAAGGGAUGCUAAUACCGCAUACGUCCUACGGGAGAAAGCAGGGGAUCACUGGUGACCUUGCGCUAAUAGAUGAGCCUAAGUCGGAUUAGCUAGUUGGUGGGGUAAAGGCCUACCAAGGCGACGAUCUGUAGCGGGUCUGAGAGGAUGAUCCGCCACACUGGGACUGAGACACGGCCCAGACUCCUACGGGAGGCAGCAGUGGGGAAUAUUGGACAAUGGGGGGAACCCUGAUCCAGCCAUGCCGCGUGUGUGAAGAAGGCCUUAUGGUUGUAAAGCACUUUAAGCGAGGAGGAGGCUCUUUUGGUUAAUACCCAGAAUGAGUGGACGUUACUCGCAGAAUAAGCACCGGCUAACUCUGUGCCAGCAGCCGCCGUAA